UACAGAGGUCUCAAGCGUUGUUCGGAUUCAUUGGGCGUAAAGGGUGCGUAGGUGGCGAGGUUAGUCAGGCGUGAAAUCUCGGGGCUCAACCCCGAAACUGCACUUGAUACUGCCUUGCUAGAGUACUGGAGAGGAGAUUGGAAUUUACGGUGUAGCAGUGAAAUGCGUAGAUAUCGUAAGGAAGACCAGUGGCGAAGGCGAAUCUCUGGACAGUUACUGACACUGAGGCACGAAGGCCAGGGGAGCAAACGGG
rnacentral:rRNA from 1 species